AAGGUUUGGUCCUAGCCUUGAAGUCAGUUCUUACUUAAUAUACACAUGCAAGUCUCCGCACCCCUGUGAAAACGCCCUUAAACUCCCCUCUAGGAAGCAGGAGCUGGUAUCAGGCACAUACUUCUGCCCAAAACACCUAGCCUCGCCACACCCACAAGGGACUUCAGCAGUGAUUAACAUUGAGCAUAAGCGACAGCUUGACUCAGUUAAAUUAACUAGAGCCGGCAAAUCUGGUGCCAGCCGCCGCGGUUACACCACGUGGCUCAAAUUGACUUUCAUCGGCGUAAAGCGUGAUUUAAGCAUAAAAUACUUUGGAGUUAAAUUUAAACUAAGCCGUGACACGCUUGUUAUCUAAGAAACUCAAACCCGAAAGUUGCUCCAAUUAGCCCAACUUGAAUUCACGACAACUGAGAAACAAACUGGGAUUAGAUACCCCACUAUGCUCAGUCGUAAACUUUUAUUUACCCAUCACCUCGCCCGGGAACUACGAGCCAAGCUUAAAACCCAAAGGACUUGACGGUACCCCAUAUCCCCCUAGAGGAGCCUGUCCUGUAAUCGAUAACCCCCGUUUAACCUCACCAUUUUUAGCAAAUCAGCCUGUAUACCUCCGUCGUCAGCUUACCACGUGAGCGUUAGUGAGCUUAAUGUUUAUUCAACUAAACGUCAGGUCAAGGUGCAACGUAUGAAAUGGGAAGAGAUGGGCUACACUUUCUAAUUUAGACCAUACGAAAAACUAUUUAUGAAACCUAGUCAGAAGGCGGAUUUAGAAGUAAAAUGGAACUAGAGAGUCCCUUUUAACCCGGCACUGGGGUGUGUACACACCGCCCGUCACCCUCCUCAAUGCUGUAAAAAAGUUUAUUAACAUAUUUUAGCCAAUCAGAAGAGGCAAGUCGUAACAUGGUAAGUAUACCGGAAGGUGUGCUUGGAAA
rnacentral:ncRNA from 1 species